rnacentral:rRNA from 1 species
AGAACGAACGCUGGCGGCAUGCCUAAUACAUGCAAGUCGAACGAACACUUCGGUGUUAGUGGCGCACGGGUGCGUAACGCGUGGGAAUCUGCCCUUGGGUUCGGAAUAACAGUUGGAAACGACUGCUAAUACCGGAUGAUAUCGAAAGAUCAAAGAUUUAUCGCCCAGGGAUGAGCCCGCGUAGGAUUAGCUAGUUGGUGAGGUAAAGGCUCACCAAGGCGACGAUCCUUAGCUGGUCUGAGAGGGUGAUCAGCCACACUGGGACUGAGACACGGCCCAGACCUCCGUACGGGAGGCAGCAGUAGGGAAUAUUAGGACAAGUGGGCGACAAGCCUGAUCCGAAGCAAAGUCGCCGCGGUGA